rnacentral:snRNA from 1 species
GUGUUCACUUUGGCAGCACAUAUACUAAAAUUUAAACAAUACAGAGAAGAUUAGCAUGGCCCCUACACAAGGAUGACAUGCAAAUUAGUGAAGCAUUCCAUACUUUU